rnacentral:lncRNA from 1 species
UUGUGAAUGCUGGUGACAAAUAACAGAGGUGUUAGAGAUCAUGGAUGACAGAGAAAAUGAGGAUGAUAAUGACAGAGGUAAAUGGGGUGGGGAAAAGGAACUACCUGAGAUGCUGCAAGCUUUGCACCCCUUGCCAUCUUAACAAUGUUGUCUCAUUAAAUUUUCACUGUCCUGUGACAUAGAUGAGCAACCUGAGGCCCAGAGAGGGGAUGGUAUUUGCCUAAGGUCACACAGCUAAGAAGUUCUAAACUUAGAUACAAAUCCAGAUGUUUCUGACAAUGGAACAAAAAUUGUCUUAACAAAAAUUGUAUAGAUGUAUAUAAUUAAUAGUUUGGCUGGGUAUAGAUUUCUUGGUUGCAAAUCACUUCUCUGGAGGAUUCUGCAUAUGUCGUCUUAUUAUACUCUAGCCUUGAAAAAUUGAUUGCCAUUUAAAGACUUUACUUUUUUUUUUCCUUUAUGGAAGUUUUUAGAAUCUCCUCUUUUUCCUCUGUGUAUUUAUUUUUAAUUUUAGCUUUUAUUUCCUUAGUGAUGUCCUUACUGUAUAUUCCACUCUACUUAAUUUUUCAUUUUUGCCAUCAUAUUUAUAAUUUCCAAGAACUUAUUUCAUGUUCUGUGUACUUCUUUAUUAGGGCCUAAAGUAUCUUCUCUUUUUUACUUUGAAAGCCUCUAUUAUUUCACUUCCCCUUCUACAUUUUUUCUGUUUAGUUCAGAUUGUGUUUUUUGGACAACAGAAGCCUUCCCAAAUGUCUGAUGAUCUUUGUUUGUCAGUUGGUAUUUAAGAAUGGGCCACUGGUCAGAAGCAGCGUUUGCCUGGGCUGUAUGUGUUGAUGGUGGAUGUCACUGUAUCAGUUUUCUAGCUUUGAGAGACAGAGCAAGUCCUGAAGAAGUCCAUCUCCCUAGUUCCAGUGUUACUGAACAUUAUUUUCAUCCCUGGACUCUUUUAGGCUUGGUCAAUCUGGGAGCUACCCAGUAUCAAGUCUAUAAAUUCACCUUUUUGCGUAAGCUGGUUUGGAGGUUUUUUAAAAAAAUCACUUACAACCUGAAGAACUCUAAACAAAUACACAGCUGAGGUAAGUUGGGCUGAUCAUUUGAUUAAAUAAACAAUCUAAUACCAUUUUGAUAUUUUCCUGUAGAUGAAAUAUCCCAAUAUUGCAGUAAAGACUGUCCCUAGAAGUGAGCACUAAGGGCUCUGAGUAGACCUCGGGCUUGGAUGCCAUUGGAUUUUCCCUGACAAGUCCAGAUGAAGUUUCUCUAGGCUCAGUUCAUGACCUGCAUCCUUCCUUUUUCCACUUAUCUGGCAUUUAGCUGACUCUGCCUUACUAUCUUAUUAUCACGUUGUUUAACUUUUUUUUUUAGUUUUUUUGAGACAGAAUUUCACUCUGUCUUCCAGGCUGGAGGAUGGUAGUGCAAUCAUAGCUCACUGCAGUCUCAAACUCAUGGGCUCAAGUGAUCCUCUUGUCUCAGCCUCCUGAAUAAGUGGAACUAUGCCUGAGUAGCUGCCACGAUGCCUGGUUAAUUUAAAAUAUUUUUUGUAGAGACAGGGUCUUGCUAUUUAGCCUAGGCUAGUCUUGAACUCCUGGCCUCAAGUGAUCCUCUCACCUCAGCCUCCCUAAGUGUUGGGAUUUACAAGUGUGAGCCGCCACACCUGGCCAUGGUUUUUUAACUCUUAAUAUGAGAACGUCUUAUCUCCCUAAUUAAUU